rnacentral:rRNA from 1 species
AGAGAUGUGACCCUCUCUUCGGAGCCUGGAGCACAGGUGCUGCAUGGCUGUCGUCAGCUCGUGUCGUGAGAUGUUGGGUUAAGUCCCGCAACGAGCGCAACCCCCGUCCUUAGUUGCUACCAUUUAGUUGAGCACUCUAAGGAGACUGCCGGUGAUAAGCCGCGAGGAAGGUGGGGAUGACGUCAAGUCCUCAUGGCCCUUACGGGCUGGGCUACACACGUGCUACAAUGGCGGUGACAAUGGGAUGCUAAGGGGCGACCCUUCGCAAAUCUCAAAAAGCCGUCUCAGUUCGGAUUGGGCUCUGCAACUCGAGCCCAUGAAGUUGGAAUCGCUAGUAAUCGUGGAUCAGCACGCCACGGUGAAUACGUUCCCGGGUUGGCCCCAC